rnacentral:rRNA from 1 species
ACGAGAAAGCGGGAGCAAUCUCGCAAGUACAGUGGCGUACGGGUGAGUAACACGUGGAUUAUCUGCCCUGGAGUGGGGAAUAACGCUGGGAAACCGGCGCUAAUACCGCAUAUUCCCGAGAGGGGAAAGCAGCAAUGCGCUCGAAGAGGAGUCCGCGGCCGAUUAGCUAGUUGGCAGGGUAAAAGCCUACCAAGGCUAUGAUCGGUAGCCGGCCUGAGAGGGCACACGGCCACACUGGCACUGAAACACGGGCCAGACUCCUACGGGAGGCAGCAGUGGGGAAUCUUGCACAAUGGGGGAAACCCUGAUGCAGCGACGCCGCGUGAGCGAUGAAGCCCUUCGGGGUGUAAAGCUCUUUCGGCAGGGAAGAUUAUGACGGUACCUGCAGAAGCAGCUGCGGCUAACUACGUGCCAGCAGCCGCGGUAAUACGUAGGCAGCAAGCGUUGUUCGGAGUUACUGGGCGUAAAGGGUGUGUAGGCGGCCUGUUAAGUUCCGUGUGAAAUCUCCCGGCUCAACCGGGAGGGUGCGCGGAAAACUGGCGGGCUAGAGUGCGGGAUGGGAGAGUAGAAUUCCUGGUGUAGCGGUGAAAUGCGUAGAUAUCAGGAGGAAUACCGGUGGUGUAGACGGCUCUCUGGACCGCAACUGACGCUGAGACACGAAAGCGUGGGUAGCAAACAGGAUUAGAUACCCUGGUAGUCCACGCCCUAAACGAUGCAUAUUUGGUGUAGGUCAUUCAGUUGAUCUGUGCCGGAGCUAACGCGUUAAAUAUGCCGCCUGGGGAGUACAGUCGCAAGGCUGAAACUCAAAAGGAAUUGACCGGGGCCCGCACAAGCGGUGGAGCAUGUUG